rnacentral:rRNA from 1 species
CCUGGUUGAUCCUGCCAGUAAUCAUAUGCUUGUCUCAAAGAUUAAGCCAUGCAUGUCUAAGUACAUGCCGAAAUAAGGCGAAACCGCGAAUGGCUCAUUAAAUCAGUUAUGGUUCCUUAGAUCGUUUCUUCCUACUUGGAUAACUGUGGCAAUUCUAGAGCUAAUACAUGCAGUGAGCCUGGAGCCCUUUGGGUAACGGGUGCUUUUAUUAGACCAAGAUCGAUCGGGUUUCGGCCCGUAUUGUGUGGUGACUCUGGAUAACUUUGUGCUGAUCGCAUGGCCACGAGCCGGCGACGUUUCUUUCAAGUGUCUGCCUUAUCAACUUUCGAUGGUAGGUUACUUGCUUACCAUGGUUGUUACGGGUAACGGAGAAUCAGGGUUCGAUUCCGGAGAGGGAGCCUGAGAAACGGCUACCACAUCCAAGGAAGGCAGCAGGCGCGCAAAUUACCCACUCCCGGCACGGGGAGGUAGUGACGAAAAAUAACAAUACGGGACUCUUUUGAGGCCCCGUAAUUGAAAUGAGUACACUCUAAAUCCUUUAACGAGGAUCAAUUGGAGGGCAAGUCUGGUGCCAGCAGCCGCGGUAAUUCCAGCUCCAAUAGCGUAUACUAAAGCUGCUGCGGUUAAAAAGCUCGUAGUUGGAUCUCAGUUCCAGACGAGUAGUGCAUCUACCCGAUGCGACGGCUCGGACUGAACAUCAUGCCGGUUCUUUCUUGGUGCACUUCAUUGUGUGCCUCGAGAUGGCCGGUGCUUUUACUUUGAAAAAAUUAGAGUGCUCAACGCAGGCGAGUCGCCUGAAUAAACUUGCAUGGAAUAAUAGAACAAGACCUCGUUUCUGUUCUGUUGGUUUUUGGAAUACGAGGUAAUGAUUAAGAGGGACGGACGGGGGCAUUCGUAUUGCGGCGCUAGAGGUGAAAUUCUUGGACCGUCGCAAGACGAACUACUGCGAAAGCAUUUGCCAAGAAUGUUUUCAUUGAUCAAGAACGAAAGUCAGAGGUUCGAAGGCGAUCAGAUACCGCCCUAGUUCUGACCAUAAACGAUGCCAACCAGCGAUCCGCCUGAGUUACUCAAAUGACUCGGCGGGCAGCUUCCGGGAACCAAAGUAUUUGGGUUCCGGGGGAAGUAUGGUUGCAAAGCUGAAACUUAAAGGAAUUGACGGAAGGGCACCACCAGGAGUGGAGCCUGCGGCUUAAUUUGACUCAACACGGGAAAACUUACCCGGCCCGGACACUGGGAGGAUUGACAGAUUGAGAGCUCUUUCUUGAUUCGGUGGAUGGUGGUGCAUGGCCGUUCUUAGUUGGUGGAGCGAUAACGAACGAGACUCUAGCCUAUUAAAUAGGUGCGGGGUUCCCAGCACCUUACAACCUUCUUAGAGGGACAAGCGGCUCCUAGCCGCACGAAACAGAGCAAUAACAGGUCUGUGAUGCCCUUAGAUGUCCGGGGCCGCACGCGCGCUACCUGAAGGAAGCAGCGUGUCUUUAUCCCUGUCUGAAAAGACUGGGUAACCCGUGGAACUUCUUUCGUGAUUGGGAUAGGGGCUUGCAAUUGUUCCCCUUGAACGAGGAAUUCCCAGUAAGCGCGAGUCAUAAGCUCGCGUUGAUUACGUCCCUGCCCUUUGUACACACCGCCCGUCGCUACUACCGAUUGAAUGAUUUAGUGAGGUCUUCGGACCGAUGUCCGGCGCGGCCUUUCGGUUGCGCCGGUCUGUUGGAAAGAUGACCAAACUUGAUCAUUUAGAGGAAGUAAAAGUCGUAACAAGGUUUCCGUAGGUGAACCUGCGGAAG